rnacentral:rRNA from 1 species
GAUCAUGGCUCAGGAUGAACGCUAGCUACAGGCUUAACACAUGCAAGUCGAGGGGAAACGACAUCGAAAGCUUGCUUUUGAUGGGCGUCGACCGGCGCACGGGUGAGUAACGCGUAUCCAACCUGCCCACCACUUGGGGAUAACCUUGCGAAAGUAAGACUAAUACCCAAUGAUAUCUCUAGAAGACAUCUGAAAGAGAUUAAAGAUUUAUCGGUGAUGGAUGGGGAUGCGUCUGAUUAGCUUGUUGGCGGGGUAACGGCCCACCAAGGCGACGAUCAGUAGGGGUUCUGAGAGGAAGGUCCCCCACAUUGGAACUGAGACACGGUCCAAACUCCUACGGGAGGCAGCAGUGAGGAAUAUUGGUCAAUGGGCGGAAGCCUGAACCAGCCAAGUAGCGUGCAGGAAGACAGCCCUAUGGGUUGUAAACUGCUUUCAGUCGGGAAUAAUUCGUCGGUCGUGACCGACGUUGCAGGUACCGUCAUAAGAAGGACCGGCUAAUUCCGUG